rnacentral:rRNA from 1 species
GAUGAACGCUGGCGGCGUGCCUAAUACAUGCAAGUCGAGCGAACGGACGCGAAGCUUGCUUCUCUGAUGUUAGCGGCGGACGGGUGAGUAACAUGUGGAUACCCUACCUAUAAGACUGGGAUAACUUCGGGAAACCGGAGCUAAUACCGGAUAAUCUUUUGAACCGCAUGGUUCAAAAGUGAAAGACGGUCUUGCUGUCACUUAUCGCUGGAUCUGGGCUGCAUUAGCUAGUUGGUACGGUAACGGCUUACCAAGGCAACUAUGCAUAGCCGACCUGUGAGGGGGAUAGGCCACAUGGGAACUGGAACACGUACCGUGGUCCUACGGGAGGCAGCAGUAGUGAAUCUUCCGCAACAGGCGAAAACCUGACGGAGCAACCGCACGUGAGAGACGAAGGUCUUCGGAUCGGAAAACGCUGUUAUUAGGGAAAAACAGAUGUGUACGUAGCUGUGGAGAUCGUGACGGUACCUAAUCAGAAAGCCACGGCUAACUACGUG